AGAGUUUGAUCCUGGCUCAGAUUGAACGCUGGCGGCAUGCUUUACACAUGCAAGUCGAGCGGCAGCGCGGGGGCAACCCUGGCGGCGAGCGGCGAACGGGUGAGUAAUACAUCGGAACGUGUCCCGUAGUGGGGGAUAGCUCGGCGAAAGCCGGAUUAAUACCGCAUAUGCUCUACGGAGGAAAGCGGGGGAUCCGCAAGGACCUCGCGCUAUGGGAGCGGCCGAUGUCCGAUUAGCUUGUUGGUGGGGUAACGGCUUACCAAGGCGACGAUCGGUAGCUGGUCUGAGAGGAUGAUCAGCCACACUGGGACUGAGACACGGCCCAGACUCCUACGGGAGGCAGCAGUGGGGAAUUUUGGACAAUGGGGGAAACCCUGAUCCAGCCAUGCCGCGUGAGUGAAGAAGGCCUUCGGGUUGUAAAGCUCUUUUGGCCGGAAAGAAAAGGCUACGGAUAACACCUGUGGUCCUUGACGGUACCGGCAGAAUAAGCACCGGCUAACUACGUGCCAGCAGCCGCGGUAAUACGUAGGGUGCGAGCGUUAAUCGGAAU
rnacentral:rRNA from 1 species